rnacentral:lncRNA from 1 species
UCAAAAACCCGGUUUCGUACUUUUUUAUUUUAGUACCCUGUGGUUUAAAGUGUAUGUAAGUACCCUGUGGUUUCGCACUUUCUCACUUUAGCACCCUGUGGUUUAAAGUGUAUCAAGUUAGUACUCUAUGAUUUUAUUUUUAUAUCAAGUUAGUACCAUGUGGUUUUAUUUUUGUAUCAAGUUAGUAUCCUGUGGUUUUAUUUUUUUCUUAAUAAAAUAUUAAACCACAACUCCACAAGGCACUAAAGUGAGAAAGUGCGAAACCACAUGGUACUAACUUGAUACAUUUCUACAAGAUACUAAAGUGAGAAAGUGCGAAACCAUAUGGUACUAACUUGAUAUACUUUAAACUACAGGAUACUAAA